GAGGGCAUAGCUCAGUGGUAGAGCGUGUGCCUAGCAUGCACGAGGUCCUGGGUUCGAUCCCCAGCACCUCCA
rnacentral:tRNA from 1 species